UGGGGAAUUUUGGACAAUGGGCGAAAGCCUGAUCCAGCAAUGCCGCGUGUGUGAAGAAGGCCUUCGGGUUGUAAAGCACUUUCAGCGAGGAGGAAGGUGGUGAGCUUAAUACGCUCAUCAAUUGACGUUACUCGCAGAAGAAGCACCGGCUAACUCCGUGCCAGCAGCCGCGGUAAUACGGAGGGUGCAAGCGUUAAUCGGAAUUACUGGGCGUAAAGCGCACGCAGGCGGUUUGUUAAGUCAGAUGUGAAAUCCCGGGCUCAACCUGGGAACUGCAUUUGAAACUGGCAAGCUAGAGUCUCGUAGAGGGGGGUAGAAUUCCAGGUGUAGCGGUGAAAUGCGUAGAGAUCUGGAGGAAUACCGGUGGCGAAGGCGGCCCCCUGGACGAAGACUGACGCUCAGGUGCGAAAGCGUGGGGCAGCAAACAGGAUUAGAUACCCUGGUAGUCCACGCUGUAAAACGAUGUCGAUUUGGAGGUUGUGCCCCUUGAGGCGUGGCUUCCGGAGCUAACGCGUUAAA
rnacentral:rRNA from 1 species